UUGGAUGUUUAGUGUCUAGCAAUAAUCCAAAUCAAGUUGCAAAUUCAUGAAAAAUGCUGUAAAAGAAUUAUCAAUGAAUAUUGAGAUCAUCAUAAUAUGGAAAGACGUAUAGAAUAUAGAAAGCAGGGACUGCAUUUUUAAAAAUGUCAGAACUAUUUAUUUUGGUCACGUAAAACAUUGAGAUGUGCUGACGGGAUUAUACAAAAAGAACCAUUAUUUAUAGCAGAAAAUCAACAAAACAUCACAAUUAAAAUAUCUCCGUCACAUUAUCAGAAUAUUUAAAUAUUUUAUCAGCUUCGGUUAACAAUGAAAAUAUUCAAAUAUUACGUAAGUGCUUUGAAGACGCAGAAUUUAAAGACUUAAAAAUCUCUGUGUGUGGUUUAGCAUAUUGAUUAGGAAAGAAUAACAAACGGUUAGGGACUGUAAGAAAGAAAAUCAAGACGGUGGUUUUCCGAAUUGUGUAUAUAAUAUUCUUAUAGGGGAGAAUGGGAGCCAUCGGGUAAUGAGAGCCACCCAGUUUUAUUUAAAUUACGCGCUUUUAAAUACUUGCUGACAAUAGCGACACGUUACCGACAAUGCAGAGAAGCAGCGACAUCGUUGCAGAUGUUUAUUCAAUGUUGUUUGAUUCUUGUGUGAGCAUAGUAGACUUUUUGCAGUAAUCGUUAUAAUAUACGUAGUUUAGAAAAUUCACGAUGCCGAGAAAUCGAGAAAGGCAGACUGUAAAGGGUUCUUGGAGUUUAGAAGAUAUACAAAGGGCUACCCAUUUAGUAAAUAACGGAUCAUAUCUCUGAAGAGCUGCAAAGCAAUGCGGAAGACCUUAUCCCAGAAACACAAGUGUCUGCAAAGAAAAGGGCGAGAGCGAAACAACAUUCUGAAAUUAUUGCAGUAACACCAAUGAAAAGAGUAUUGGAAGAAAAAGAACAAAAGGAGCAGGACAAAAAUAACAAGA
rnacentral:lncRNA from 1 species